rnacentral:rRNA from 1 species
UACGUAGGGUGCAAGCGUUAAUCGGAAUUACUGGGCGUAAAGCGUGCGCAGGCGGUGAUGUAAGACAGUUGUGAAAUCCCCGGGCUCAACCUGGGAACUGCAUCUGUGACUGCAUCGCUGGAGUGCGGCAGAGGGGGAUGGAAUUCCGGGUGUAGUGGUGAAAUGCGUAGAGAUCCGGAGGAACACCAGUGGCGAAGGCGACACGCUGGGCCGUACCUGACGCUAAAGCGCGACAGCAUGGGGAGCGAACGGG